CAGAACACCUCAGCCUUUCCAGCAUCAUAUCAGCUUUGGAAAGUGUGGCAGGACACCACUGGAUAUCUUCAUCUGGUUAUCUGAAGCCCAUUAAUCACAGUACGUGUUCAGACUGUCCAACAAGCGGCCACAUGCAGGGAGCCAGCCUGUGGGCAUAACCGGUGAUCUUUGAAAGGGACAGAGUGACCUGCAUCGGUGUGAAAUGCGCUCGGAGGCGGGAUGACACCCACCCCUUCAUACAGUCCAAUGAAGGGAACAAAAUGUUGUAUUCACUCAACAGAUAAUUCAUGCCCUCACUUGCCAAAUUAAUCAAGU